rnacentral:rRNA from 1 species
AGAGUUUGAUCCUGGCUCAGGAUGAACGCUGGCGGCGCGCCUAACACAUGCAAGUCGAACGAUUAAGACACCUUCGGGUGUGUAUAAAGUGGCGAACGGCUGAGUAACACGUGGGCAACCUACCCCUCUCUCUGGGAUAGCCUCGAGAAAUCGUGGGUAAUACCGGAUACUCCGGAUCCAUCGCAUGGUGGAUCCGGGAAAGCUCCGACGGUGAGGGAUGGGCCCGCGGCCUGUUAGCUUGUUGGUGGGGUAACGGCCUACCAAGGCAAUUAUGGGUAGCUGGGUUGAGAGACCGACCAGCCAGAUUGGGACUGAGACACGGCCCAGACUCCUACGGGAGGCAGCAGUGGGGAAUCUUGCACAAUGGGCGAAAGCCUGAUGCAGCGACGCCGCGUGCGGGAUGAAGGCCUUCGGGUUGUAAACCGCUUUCAGCAGGGACGAGGCGCAAGUGACGGUACCUGCAGAAGAAGCCCCGGCUAACUACGUGCCAGCAGCCGCGGUAAUACGUAGGGGGCAAGCGUUAUCCGGAUUCAUUGGGCGUAAAGCGCUCGUAGGCGGUCCGUUAGGUCGGGAGUUAAAGACCGGGGCUCAACCCCGGCCCGCUCCCGAUACCGGCGGACUUGAGUUUGGUAGGGGAAGGUGGAAUUCCCAGUGUAGCGGUGGAAUGCGCAGAUAUUGGGAAGAACACCGGUGGCGAAGGCGGCCUUCUGGGCCAUAACUGACGCUGAGGAGCGAAAGCUAGGGGAGCAAACAGGAUUAGAUACCCUGGUAGUCCUAGCCGUAAACGAUGGACACUAGGUGUGGGGGGAUGAACCUUCCGUGCCGCAGCUAACGUAUUAAGUGUCCCGCCUGGGGAGUACGGCCGCAAGGCUAAAACUCAAAGGAAUUGACGGGGGCCCGCACAAGCAGCGGAGCAUGUGGCUUAAUUCGAAGCAACGCGAAGAACCUUACCAGGUCUUGACAUCCUUUGAAGCUUUUAGAGAUAGAAGUGUUCUCUUCGGAGACAAAGUGACAGGUGGUGCAUGGUCGUCGUCAGCUCGUGUCGUGAGAUGUUGGGUUAAGUCCCGCGACGAGCGCAACCCUUAUUGUUAGUUGCCAGCAUUCAGAUGGGCACUCUAGCGAGACUGCCGGUGACAAACCGGAGGAAGGCGGGGACGACGUCAGAUCAUCAUGCCCCUUAUGACCUGGGCUACACACGUGCUACAAUGGCGUAUACAACGAGUUGCCAACCUGUGAAGGUGAGCUAAUCUCUUAAAGUACGUCUCAGUUCGGACUGCAGUCUGCAACUCGACUGCACGAAGUCGGAAUCGCUAGUAAUCGCGGAUCAGCACGCCGCGGUGAAUACGUUCCCGGGUCUUGCACUCACCGCCGGUCA